rnacentral:rRNA from 1 species
AUACGGAGGGUGCGAGCGUUGUCCGGAAUCACUGGGCGUAAAGCGCGCGUAGGCGGCUAAUUAAGUCAAAUGUGAAAUCCCCGAGCUUAACUUGGGAAUUGCAUUCGAUACUGGUUAGCUAGAGUGUGGGAGAGGAUGGUAGAAUCCCAGGUGUAGCGGUGAAAUGCGUAGAGAUCUGGAGGAAUACCGAUGGCGAAGGCAGCCAUCUGGCCUAACACUGACGCUGAGGUGCGAAAGCAUGGGGAGCAAACAGGAUUAGAAACCCCAGUAGUCC